UUGCUUAUGUCUAUCCCCAACAUGAGUUGUAGGUUUGGUAAUUGUCUCCUUAAUUAUCUCUAGACUCUGGCUGUGAGGUAUCUGGUUGUUUUUGCUUUUUUCAACUGGUGCUUUCACUCUCCAUUCUUGUGUUACUUUACCUUUCUAUGUAGGUUGGGUAGCUUUGGUUAGACAAUUGUGUCCAACCUCCAAACAUUUCUCACAGUACAA
rnacentral:lncRNA from 1 species